GACAAACGCUGGCGGCGUGCUUAACACAUGCAAGUCGAACGGAAAGUCCCUGCUUUUGUGGGGUGCUCGAGUGGCGAACGGGUGAGUAACACGUGAGUAACCUGCCCUUGACUUUGGGAUAACUUCAGGAAACUGGGGCUAAUACCGGAUAGGAGCUCCUGCUGCAUGGUGGGGGUUGGAAAGUUUCGGCGGUUGGGGAUGGACUCGCGGCUUAUCAGCUUGUUGGUGGGGUAGUGGCUUACCAAGGCUUUGACGGGUAGCCGGCCUGAGAGGGUGACCGGCCACAUUGGGACUGAGAUACGGCCCAGACUCCUACGGGAGGCAGCAGUGGGGAAUAUUGCACAAUGGGCGGAAGCCUGAUGCAGCAACGCCGCGUGCGGGAUGACGGCCUUCGGGUUGUAAACCGCUUUCGCCUGUGACGAAGCGUGAGUGACGGUAAUGGGUAAAGAAGCACCGGCUAACUACGUG
rnacentral:rRNA from 1 species